AGUGGUUGUAGACGCGAAACCUUGCGAUCUACCCUUGAGCAGGUUGAAGGUUGGGUAAAACCAACUGGAGGACCGAACGAAUAAGCGUUGAAAAGCUUCUCGAUGACUUGAGGGUAGGGGUGAAAGGCUAAUCAAGCUGGGAAAUAGCUCGUACUCCCCGAAAUGCCUUUUGGGGCAGCGUUGUAAUAAAGAGUCUACUGGAGGUAGAGCUACUGAUUGGAUGCGGGGGCUUCACCGCCUACCAAAUCCUGACAAACUCCGAAUGCCAGUAGUAUGAUUUACAGCAGUGAGUGACUGGGUGCUAAUGUCCAGUCGCAAAAGAGGAACAACUCAGACCAGCAACUAAGGUCCCGAAGAAUAUGCUAAGUUGAUCUAACGAUGUUUUGUUGCAGAGACAGCUAGGAUGUUAGCUUGGAAGCAGCUAUUCAUUCAAAGAGUGCGUAACAGCUCACUAGUCGAGCGACAGAGCGUGGAUAAUAAACGGGCAUCAAGCAUAUCACCGAAGUUCUGGGCGCGAGAGCGCGGUAGGGGAGCAUUCCAUUCAGCGUCGAAGCAGUUUCGUGAGGAAUUGUGGAGCGUAUGGAAAAGCAAAUGUAGGCAUGAGUAACGAUAAUGCGGGAGAGUAACCCGCACACCGCAAGACCAAGGUUUCCUGAUCAACGCUAAUCGGAUCAGGGUUAGUCGGGUCCUAAGGGUAAGCCGAACGGCGAUCUCGAUGGAUAAUCGGUUAAUAUUCCGAUACUAACAUAUACCUCGAUGGAGAGACGAAGGAACGUAAGUGCCGCCACCUGACGGAAUAGGUGGUUAAAGGGCGUAGGUAUAGGGGCAGAUUAAGAGUUAGUCCUUGCUGAAACCUGACAGUACAGAGAGCCUACGGGCAAUUUGAUAGAGCACCCAAGUCGACUUCCGAGAAAAUCUUCUAAGUUAUAGUAUAUGUUACCCGUACCGUAAACCGACACAGGUGGUCGAGGAGAGUAUCCUAAGGUGCUCGAGUGAAUCACGGUUAAGGAACUAGGCAAAUUAACCCCGUAACUUCGGGAAAAGGGGUCCCUAUGAAAGUAGGGCGCAGCGAAGAGGUCCAGGCGACUGUUUAUCAAAAACACAGGGCUCUGCAAAUUCGAAAGAAGACGUAUAGGGCCUGACACCUGCCCGGUGCUGGAAGGUUAAGAGGGGAUGUCAUCGCAAGAGAAGCAUUGAAUCGAAGCCCCAGUAAACGGCGGCCGUAACUAUAACGGUCCUAAGGUAGCGAAAUUCCUUGUCGGGUAAGUUCCGACCUGCACGAAUGGUGUAACGAUCUGGACACUGUCUCAACCGUGAGCUCGGUGAAAUUGUAGUCCCGGUGAUGAUGCCGGGUACCCGCAACGGGACGAAAAGACCCCGUGAACCUUUACUAUAGCUUAACGCUGAAUUUGGGUACACAAUGUGUAGGAUAGGCCGGAGGCUUUGAAGCGGGCACGCCAGUGUUCGUGGAGCCGACGUUGAAAUACGGCCCUUUGUGUAUUUGAGUUCUAACCCUGCGAAGGGGACACCGUUUGGUGGGUAGUUUGACUGGGGUGGUCGCCUCCAAAAGCGUAACGGAGGCUUCCCAAGGUACCCUCAGCACGAAUGGUAACCGUGCGCGGAGUGCAAUAGCAUAAGGGUGCUUGACUGUGAGACAUACAAGUCGACCAGGUACGAAAGUAGGGUAUAGUGAUCCGGUGGUUCUGCGUGGACUGGCCAUCGCUCAAAGGAUAAAAGGUACUCCGGGGAUAACAGGCUGAUCGCCGCCAAGAGCUCAUAUCGACGCGGCGGUUUGGCACCUCGAUGUCGGCUCGUCACAUCCUGGGGCUGGAGAAGGUCCCAAGGGUUCGGCUGUUCGCCGAUUAAAGUGGCACGCGAGCUGGGUUCAGAACGUCGUGAGACAGUUCGGUCUCUAUCUGUUGCGGGCGUAGGAAGAUUGAGGGGUCCUGACUUUAGUACGAGAGGACCGAGUUGGACGAACCUCCGGUGUAUCGGUUAUGCUGCCAAGUGUACUGCCGAGUAGCCGCGUUCGGUCUGGAUAAGCGCUGAAAGCAUCUAAGCGCGAAGCCAUCCCCGAGAUAAGUCUUCCCUUGAGGGGCGUAGGAGACUACUACGUUGAUAGGCUGCAGGUGUAAAGACAGCAAUGUCAAAGCCGAGCAGUACUAAUUACCCGAUAGGCUUUCUUUUU
rnacentral:rRNA from 1 species